UAAAAAGUCAUAUAUCUGGUUGGCUCUAACUCAUUAGUGCUCUUAAGCAUGCAUUUAAUUAAACCAGGCAAGUAGUCCUAUUUAAAUCAAAGGAACUAAAAGUCACCUGCAUUCAGUGACACUAAUGAUAUUCAUUAAAUCAUUUACAUGAAUACUUAUUUGCAGGAUUAACACCAGAUGACAUUCACACACAUUUUUCCUGUGCAACUGUGCGCUAGUCGUUGUAGAAUCAAAUUCUUUAUUCAUGUUUAUUUGCAUUUCUUAUAUCACCUUCACAUUCCUUCAAUAAGCUCCAAACAAAGGUUUCAGAUUCUAGGCAUCAUAUUCUAUUAAAAAUGUAUUUAAUAGCUAUUCUGUUUGAUAUACAUUUUAACCGUGUCUUUACCUUACAGGCAAAAAAGAUGAAUGUUUGAUCUGCAGAACUCCUUGUCGUACAAUAUUCCUUUCAAAAGAGACAAGUCCUGAUAUUCAGUCACUGUUCAUGGGAAUAGAUACAUUAUGCAAGAAAUAUUCAAAAGAAAUAACACAGAUUUCAGAAUUUCAAGAAAAAAAUCGUGAACAUUUAUUAGCAUACCACAGAAAAAAGUAUGAAACCUCCUCAACAAACUACUCCACUGCCAUUUUCCAGUACAAGUAGAAACCCACUUUCCAUUCCUUCAAGAAGACCGAAUGGCUACUCUUCAUGUUCUCUUCAACCUAGUCAUCCUUCCACUUCUGAAACAAUGGAGUCAAUGGAGAUUGAUCCUUUACCUUCACCAAUGAGGAAGGUAGUGUAUCCUACAGAAGUUCUCAGUCAUCUGGAAUAACAUCAAGUCAAAAUAAAGCAGGAUCUACAAGAUCCACACCUGUAAGCCUACCACAUAAUGGAUAUUCACUUAUAUCACCAUCUGGAUCACAAUGCAGUAGAAGGGGAUCAUGGACUGCUUCUGAUUUCAGAACGCCUCCAUUGUAUCCACUUACAUCACCUUCCCCACAGUCAUCUGUAACAAGACAUCCAAUCACCAUCUCUGGAA